rnacentral:rRNA from 1 species
UACGGAGGAUCCGAGCGUUAUCCGGAUUUAUUGGGUUUAAAGGGUGCGCAGGCGGGGGAUUAAGUCGGCGGUGAAAUUUUGCAGCUCAACUGUAAAAGUGCCUUCGAAACUGGUUUCCUUGAGUGUAGAUGAAGUAGGCGGAAUUUGUGGUGUAGCGGUGAAAUGCAUAGAUAUCACGAGGAACUCCGAUUGCGCAGGCAGCUUACUAAACUACUACUGACGCUCAGGCACGAAGGCGUGGGGAUCAAACAGGAUUAGAUACCCUGGUAGUCCCU